rnacentral:rRNA from 1 species
AAUAUGGCGCAAUGGAGGGAACUCUGACGCAGCGACGCCGCGUGAUCGAUGAUUGUCNNNGUAUCNUCAAGCCCUGUCCUUUGNGAANAAGGUCUUCGUACGUGACGGUACCUAAGGAGGAAGCCCGGGCUAACUACGUGCCAGCAGCCGCGGUAAUACGUGGGGGGCGAGCGUUGUCCGGAAUUAUUGGGCGUAAAGGGCGCGUAGGCGGUCUCUUAAGUCUGAUGUAAAAGCCCCCGGCUUAACCGGGGAGGGUAAUUGGAAACUGGGAGACUUGAGUGCAGAAGAGGAGAGUGGAAUUCCACGUGUAGCGGUGAAAUGCGUAGAGAUGUGGAGGAACACCAGUGGCGAAGGCGGCUCUCUGGUCUGUAACUGACGCUGAGGCGCGAAAGCGUGGGGAGCAAAC